rnacentral:miRNA from 1 species
AGAGCGCAGGGGAGGUGCUUAG